GUGGUUCGGCCCAGGGGCGGUGCUGGGUCAGGGAGGGAUGUGGUGAAGAGAGCGCGUGCGCCAUUUUGAGCCCGUGCUUGGAACAUUGGAGGAAGCACAGAGAACGACAUGCAGACAUAGAUCACCCUAAUAUUUCUACUGACGACAGGAGUAGUGGCCUGCAUGAAGCAGCACGACCUGGUCAUCAGACAUGACAAAUGCCAGCUCGGCGGGAGGCACAAGAUGUAAUUUCACUUUUCCUACACCCUUCCUGAUGGAGUCACGUGGUGGAGUUGGACAUUUCAAGGAGGGUCUGCACCCCACAGAUGGUAGGACUGCAUGCCAAGAAGCCAGUGGGAAGUGUGGCAGGAAGCCUCAACAUUAGAGAAAGGGUGUAUUUGAAGUUUUGCAAUCUGUUGAUAGAUGACUGUUGUGUUCACAUUCCAAAGUGUAUAUGAUAAGUUGUCUCAAGCGCUCGAUGGUAAGAUCAGUAAAAUAACUGGGGAAUAAUGAUCCACAGUGAGCAGUAAAACUCACUGGGACUGCGCUCCCUUUAAACUCUGGAGGUGACUGUACCACAACUCCAAGGAAGCCAGUUGAAUCAUGACUGUGGUCAUGGGGUAGAUGUUGGGGUAUGUCCAACCACCGUGACAACAGUCCCGACAGGAUGGGACAAACGCCCGUGAAAGCUUCUCCCCACAGACAGCAGCACUCCCCGCAUGCGCAGCUCUUGUCCCCCAGCACGGUUGUGGUUGGUGGGUGCAGAGGCACCAAGGGCGGGCUUUGUGACCAUAUUAGACCAUAGCUCGGAUCUGAGCCGGGAGGCCCUCGGGCAACCAUUUGGAGUUGGUCCUCCUCAGAGCAGUGGUCUGCAGCUGAGGACUCUCCUCUUGGGUCCAGGCUUUAACGCUGGUGGAGCUUUAAUGGAGUUUGAACAGUAAAUUCUGUUUAACCUCAGGGUAUAGGUUCCAUGACAGCAGGUGAUCAAAACUAGAGCGAAGCAGCUUUCCUGCUUGUUCCAAAGAGUCAUGCACUUUCAAAAAUUAAAACUCUAUUUAAACAUCUCAA